GUGAAGCCAUUCCAGGAGGUGACCAGGGUGCUGACCCAAAGGGAAGGCCAGCGCGUGCUGCAGGGACAUCUGAGGGAGGCUCAAACUCCGCAGUCAGGCAUUUUCCCAGGCUUGGCGUAAAGAAGUGAUGGAGACUUUUGUGUGAUUCCUAGGCUCCCCUCCUGGACAGCACCAGGAAUGUGUCUUCGAGGUGGCUGGGCUUCAGGCCAGCCUGGGGGCGUGCUUGGGUGACUGGAGAAUGCAGCUAUUUGCUGGGAAGAUCUUAAGGAGGAAACCAGAACCUCUCCCUCUCCCGAGCUCCCAUCCUUGGGGGAGCCUGUUAGGAUAGAGUUCAUCCUCAGUCAAAAGAAACUGCAUCUGGUUUCAACUUUUACCUUCCUUCCUGCCACCCAGGAUGGGAGCAGGCAAACCUGGCUGAGGAGAGCCACACCCAGCCACACCCCAUGGGUCAAUCACUGGAGCUUCUGAAACCUGGGUGGUGCCUGGUACAGCUGGGUUCCUUCCUUUCCGCCAGCCCAAGUUCCUGCCUCCAGCUUUGCCCCUGGAGAUCUCAAUUCUGCUCUCUACAUUCUGAGGGGAACUCUUGGCCCCAGCAGCAAGCAAAACUCCAAGUGCACCUCCCAUACAUCCCCCGGCACUGGGUUCGGCCUGUACCAUCCAGGACCUGGUGCUUCUGGGCCUGGCAUUUUGCUGGGAUUACAGCGAGAAGAGACGUGACUGUGCUCCAGGAACGGAAAGUGCCAUUCCGACUUGAAAUAAAGAGACUGAGCGCAUUGAUUCAGGUGUGGAGGUGGCUGAUCAGAUCUGACCCGAGGAGGGGCUCAGGGUUUCCACUCAAUGACAUCGAUGGUGAUCUGGGUCGCCUGCUGUAAGGCCUCACCCUCGUAAGCCUUACUGUCAGAGUCCUUCUCCAGGACAUGGAAGAUAUGCGUGUGGGCCUGCAGGACCUUCCAGCCCUCAGGGGCCUCUGGCAGCAUGGUGAGGGCCUUGGUGGCCUUCAGGCACACCCUGCCCAUGGGUGAGUGUAGCACCUUCAGGAGCAGGUUGAUGGCUUGUGUAUGUAUGGGACACAUACUUCUCGGCAGGCCAACACAGGGCAUUCCUAACAAGCUGAAGGGGUCUCUUCUCACCCCCUCACACCCUAGCCCUCUUUUGACCCUUGUGCCUGCAGUCUAGGGGAGGUGCCACCCCGUCCCCCUGCUGCAGGAAUUCCCUGAUUAAUUCAUGCAGCGAGACACUGAGGCAAGAGCUGGGUUUCCCACCUCAGCACUCUUUUGAGCCAGGCAAUUCUCAACUUGGGGCCAAAGUUCCCCUGCUGUGACCUUUGGGGAUGACACAGAAAAUGAUGGCAAGGAUUGUGGUCACAGCGGACACAGGAGGAUUGGGGGAGGCUGGGGAGGCCGCAAUUUCACAGAGAAAGCUCUCUCCGGGAAAGCCACUCUCCUGGUCGCACAGAAAGGGACCUCUGUGCAAACCUAAGAAUGAUAGGGCUGGGACAGGGCCUGGGAACAUGGAUUUCCACAGACCACCUGGGGUCUGGUUCAGGGACCACAUUUGGAGAAAUACCCGAGCCUCUAAUGAGACUCUCAGGACCUAGGGAAAGCAAGAGGGCCCCCCCAGCAAGGGGACAUGACCACAGCCACGGCAGGGAAUCUGGGGGGUCGGUGACCAGCCCAUCCUCACAAUGAGGGACCCAGUGUGGGAACACCCCCCAACCACCGCAAGCUCUGAGUCUUUGUGCUGCCCCAGUUUUGAGGCCAGGAUGUAAACUGUGAUCCUGUGUGACCUGGGGUGAGAGACAAGACACUGCGCCUCCGUUUCCUCACCUGUGGAGGCAGACAUCGCCUCGCUGGAGGGUUGUCUAAAUGUGAGGUUUGGAGACAAUGCCUGGCACACAGGAGGCUCUCAGUGACUGCUGGGUGUCAGGAUCGUCAUCAGUGCUUUUCCUGUUCUUGCCUUCCUCAUGGGGAGGAGGUGCCAGACCCUCUCCUGCAUCCUCCUGCAGGCAGAGGCCAAGAAGAGUUCCUGGAGCUGCUCCUCUGCAGCUUCUACACCAGUGAGGGGAUCAGAGCCUUGCUGAUGACACCGUGGGCCGCUGCACGACAGAGGAUAGAACAGCAGCAGCUCUCUUCCUGCUUGACAACCAACGCCGCCAUUCACUCCAGCCACUGUCCAAGUCAAGUAAACUCUGCGAGUAAUUCAUGAGCAGCACCACCAAUGUCCUGAGAGUGACUCUGUGUCCUCCUAACUCCCCAAGGCCGGUUGGAGAAGUCUUCUACUGACAAAUCAGAAGAGGAGAACCCAGAUUUUGCCAAUAGGAGGAAUGCGAGAUUGACUGAAUAUUAGAAAAUCAAGGCUCACAUCUGUAAUCCCAGCACUUUUGGAGGCUGAAGCCUGUGGAACACUUGAACCCAGGAGUUCGAGAUGA